rfam:Picea glauca, whole genome shotgun sequence.
AUAAUGGUGUCUUUAGACACCACCUUUCUGUCUUCGAAAUCUUAUUU